rnacentral:rRNA from 1 species
AACUGAAGAGUUUGAUCAUGGCUCAGAUUGAACGCUGGCGGCAGGCUUAACACAUGCAAGUCGAGCGGGGGAAGGUAGCUUGCUACUGGACCUAGCGGCGGACGGGUGAGUAAUGCUUAGGAAUCUGCCUAUUAGUGGGGGACAACAUCUCGAAAGGGAUGCUAAUACCGCAUACGUCCUACGGGAGAAAGCAGGGG